GACGAACGCUGGCGGCGUGCUUAACACAUGCAAGUCGAACGGAAAGGCCCUGCUUUUGUGGGGUUCUCGAGUGGCGAACGGGUGAGUAACACGUGAGUAACCUGCCCUUGACUUUGGGAUAACUUCAGGAAACUGGGGCUAAUACCGGAUAGGAGCUCCUGCUGCAUGGUGGGGGUUGGAAAGUUUCGGCGGUUGGGGAUGGACUCGCGGCUUAUCAGCUUGUUGGUGGGGUAGUGGCUUACCAAGGCUUUGACGGGUAGCCGGCCUGAGAGGGUGAACGGCCACAUUGGGACUGAGAGACGGCCCAGACUGCUACGGGAGGCAGCAGUGGGGAAUAUUGCACAAUGGGCGGAAGCCUGAUGCAGCGACGCCGCGUGCGGGAUGACGGCCUUCGGGGUGUAAACCGCUUUCGCCUGUGACGAAGCGUGUGUGACGGUAAUGGGUAAAGAAGCACCGGCUAACUACGUG
rnacentral:rRNA from 1 species